ensembl:lncRNA
AAAAAAGCCAGACGGCAUUUAUUUUCAUUAUUUUUUUUCCAUCUAUACAGUUUAUUAUAUAUAUAAAAUAAAAAAACUCAAGACAAGAACAAAAAUGUAAUCACAGAUAAUGGAUGAACCCCUUGUCAUGGCUUAUAAAUCGCCGUGUGGUCCUAAGGUAGGGGAAACCCUGCUGGGGGUGCCUCCUAAUAGUCAUAACAAGCUUACUCUCCUAGUCUCCUCUCUGUCAUCAGCACCAAUGUGAAUGGAUAGGAAUAGGAUAGGUGAAAGCUAUUUGGCGGAAUCCUACGAGCAAACCAGCUUUCACCCGACCAGUAAUUUUGUUCAGAUCCGUGUGAAUGAAUGAAAGGAGACAAGGAGAGGAGCCAACUCUAUAGACUAUUUACAUGUGUCCUUAUAGAGUGCGGCACAGCAGAUUGUUGUGGGUAUUGGAAUGACAUACAUAGCAAAGUGCCAUUAGAAAUAGAACGAAAUGAAAGGAAUUGGAACCCAAUAGCACAAUUGAGUUGAAUGGGUGUGCCUGUUCUACUCAUUCUAAUUCUAUGAUAGUGCCUUCCACUUUACACGUUGUUUACCUUGUGAAAAGGUCAUACAGAUCUAACAGAUUAUAUUGUAGUCUUGGAUUGCAAUGAAAUGUUGAUAAUGUCUAAAUCGACAGAUAUAUUGUCUGUGAACAAAGAUAUUACACUACAGUAGAUGGACCAAGAUGAUCAACUUUCACCUCACAGGUAUGGAGUGCGGGGUAGUGCCAGAGUGAGAGAUGGAGAGAUGGUGUGUGUGUGUUUGUAAAUGUUCUCCAUCACCUUUGAAAAUAACCCUUUUGCCAUUGGGGCACCAGGAGUCACGUUAUGUCAAAAACAUAACAAUUAUGUCAUAACAUUGUAAUACACAGUAUUACUGAGAAAAAACCCAAACUGUAUUGUCUUGCAUAUUUAAAACAAAUUAAAAUAAGAUUCUUCUAGUGUAAAACAGAUUUCAUUUUGUGAGCUAUAAUUUCAAUCUUUUUAUUUUAUUAUUUAUGUACAAAGGGAAUCUGAAGACUUUUAAUCUGCAGAAAAGAAGUAUAAAUAUGUGUACUUCUCUUUUGUGUAUGAUACAGUUUACCAAAAUAGUUUACUAUUUACAAGCCCCCACAGACCUGAUCCCAAUCAAAAUAGUUCACUAUUUACAAGCCCCCACAGACCUGAUCCCAAUCAAAAUAGUUCACUAUUUACAAGCCCCCACAGUCCUGAUCCCAAUCAAAAUAGUUCACUAUUUACAAGCCCCCACAGACCUGAUCCCAAUCAAAAUAGUUCACUAUUUACAAGCCCCCACAGACCUGAUCCCAAUCAAAAUAGUUCACUAUUUACAAGCCCCCACAGACCUGAUCCCAAUCAAAAUAGUUUACUAUGUACAAGCCCCCACAUAACUGAUCUCAAUCAAAAUAGUGAUAACAAAUUGCCAUGGCAACAUUGGCUGAUCACCUCUGUAGUUCCGUUGGCCAAUCAGUGAUUUAUAUUACCCCAAAUUGAUCAGGGAUUGGCUGUAUUUCCCUGUGUAUUAAUUCACCUUUGACUGGCUCAAAGACCUUAUGUGAGAGCAGGAGAUAAUCCGAAUGGUUAAUCUGCAAUUGUUGUGUUUUUGAGCUAUGCUUCCAAAUCACACUCAAUGACUUUGAUACAAAAGUAAACCUCAGAUUUGGUGUUGCAAAUUCAACUGCUAUUUUAGAAACAGAUCACAAUAAAACACUGAAAAACAUUGGACCAAUUGCAUUGCUGGAGGACAUUGAUUUCAUCCAAUCACAGUGUGUUUUAUACACCUAUCCCUUUGAUAGGAGAAAUCCCUACAAGGGAGAGGAUUUCAAAUAGCUUUAUUAGUCCAAUGUUCAAGCUUCAGACACAGAAACAACCAAUGAGAAUGCUUGGACUCCACUACUCUGUUGCUAGCUCUUUAGAGUGAAGCUUCUGUUUCCCAGGUAACCAUGUGAUGAUGAGGUUCUGUGUGUUCCAUGUGUUCCGUGAGUUCCGUUUUUAGUCCAUUCCCUAUUUCCAAUAUGGCCUCCAGCGAUAAGGGACAGCACACCUUGUGGGGAAUGUAGCCAUUUUGGGGAGGGAGGUUGGUUUAUGUGGCAGCAGCGGAAUGGCUGUGUAGUGCUCCGAUCACUCUGAAGCAACCAAUCACAUUCACUCAAACCGUCCAUUCAAGUUAGGUAUAACCAUGGCACUUUCUACAACCUUCUAGAAAUGUACACACACCUGUUAUUACCAGUUAUAAAGCCUUCAUACGCCCUUUAUAUCCCCUGUCCAUGUCACACUCCUAACCCCAGUGUUUCUAUACAGGAAUGAGGUCAAUUUACUGACCCCUGACAUUUACCCUUUGACCACACUCCUAUGAGUUCUGCUCCAGGUACUCAUCUAUCAUAGUGAGGUUAUUGAGCCAGUCCUCAUUCGACCCCACCAGAGUAUCAAUAAAGUCUACCUCCCCUCCUCCACCACCACCA